UACGUAGGGGGCAAGCGUUGUCCGGAUUUAUUGGGCGUAAAGAGCUUGUAGGCGGUUUGGUAGGUCCGCUGUGAAAACUCGAGGCUCAACCUCGAGACGCCGGUGGAAACCAUCAGACUAGAGUCCGGAAGAGGAGAGUGGAAUUCCUGGUGUAGCGGUGAAAUGCGCAGAUAUCAGGAAGAACACCCGUGGCUAAGGCGGCUCUCUAGUACGGUACUGACGCUGAGGCGCGAAAGCGUGGGGAGCAAACAGG
rnacentral:rRNA from 1 species